UGACAUAUUGUCCAUCUAGGGACAUCAGAAAGAUACAGAGAAGAUUAAUAUGGCCCUUGUGCAAGGAUGACAUGCACAAAUUGAAAAAUGGUCCAAAUAUUU